GUGAAUACCUGACUCUGAGUCACAGGACGGAACGGAUGGAUAUGUGGUUUUCAUCUGACAAUUUAUUUUUGUGGUGGUUCACUCACUACAGGGCUUUUCAACUGGUGCAUAAUUUAGGUUAAAGUUUCUGAGCAGCUCUGGACUGCAAAAGGGCCUCCCUUCACUGAGCAGAUGUAUAUGACCCCGUGCUUCUCCGAUUCAUACCAAACUUCAGAGAAACUCCGGGAAAGGUUCCUUCUGUAUUUAUGGAUGAGAAUUAUGUGAAGCCUCUACAACCAUCGUAGUUCAUAUCUCCAGAGAGGUAAAGGAAUGCUAACAGAACAAGUCACUGAAAAGGGAGACUUGGCCAGUGACAAUCAGGCUUCUCAGCUUCCACAGUGGCUGCAAACCAGUUUGAGCAGAUUUCUGUUUGGCCCUUUCUCGAGGUAUAAUUUGCAGUGAAGUGCACAAAUCAGUGAAAUUUUACGUAUGCAACCUUUAUCACUCACCACCCAAACCAGAGUGGUGUCUUCCCAACACCCCAGGGCCUCUAGUCCUUUUCCAGCGUUGCCUGAAGACACAAACUACUGAUGGCUGCAUCCACAUGACUGACUUCAAACACAGCACGCUGCAGGAGAAAAGCCGGAUACGCGCGUGGAAAGUGGGUGGCUCCACCACCCUGCUGUUCAGCUGGUACAAGUGAGUUAGAACGUCCUGAACUUUUGAAGGUGUGCAUGAGGACAUACAAAUCUCGCUGACGGUGGCCAGUGCACUGUGAUCUGCCUGACCGAGAUUCUGGAAAACCAAGCUGCUGACAACUAGGGGUGCAAGAGCAUAAGCGAUGUAAAGAAAUAA
rnacentral:lncRNA from 10 species